AGUCGAGCGGGGGAAGGUAGCUUGCUACUGGACCUAGCGGCGGACGGGCGAGUAAUGCUUAGGAAUCUGCCUAUUAGUGGGGGACAACAUCUCGAAAGGGAUGCUAAUACCGCAUACGUCCUACGGGAGAAAGCAGGGGAUCUUCGGACCUUGCGCUAAUAGAUGAGCCUAAGUCGGAUUAGCUAGUUGGUGGGGUAAAGGCCUACCAAGGCGACGAUCUGUAGCGGGUCUGAGAGGAUGAUCCGCCACACUGGGACUGAGACACGGCCCAGACUCCUACGGGAGGCAGCAGUGGGGAAUAUUGGACAAUGGGCGCAAGCCUGAUCCAGCCAUGCCGCGUGUGUGAAGAAGGCCUUAUGGUUGUAAAGCACUUUAAGCGAGGAGGAGGCUACUUUAGAUAAUACCUAGAGAUAGUGGACGUUACUCGCAGAAUAAGCACCGGCUAACUCUGUGCCAGCAGCCGCGGUAAUACAGAGGGUGCAAGCGUUAAUCGGAUUUACUGGGCGUAAAGCGCGCGUAGGCGGCUAAUUAAGUCAAAUGUGAAAUCCCCGAGCUUAACUUGGGAAUUGCAUUCGAUACUGGUUAGCUAGAGUGUGGGAGAGGAUGGUAGAAUUCCAGGUGUAGCGGUGAAAUGCGUAGAGAUCUGGAGGAAUACCGAUGGCGAAGGCAGCCAUCUGGCCUAACACUGACGCUGAGGUGCGAAAGCAUGGGGAGCAAACAGGAUUAGAUACCCUGGUAGUCCAUGCCGUAAACGAUGUCUACUAGCCGUUGGGGCCUUUGAGGCUUUAGUGGCGCAGCUAACGCGAUAAGUAGACCGCCUGGGGAGUACGGUCGCAAGACUAAAACUCAAAUGAAUUGACGGGGGCCCGCACAAGCGGUGGAGCAUGUGGUUUAAUUCGAUGCAACGCGAAGAACCUUACCUGGCCUUGACAUAGUAAGAACUUUCCAGAGAUGGAUUGGUGCCUUCGGGAACUUACAUACAGGUGCUGCAUGGCUGUCGUCAGCUC
rnacentral:rRNA from 1 species